UUUAAGUGCAACCAUAAGUUUUCGUGCCCAAUUUUGAUCGUUCGUCUUAUUUGAAUUUUUUUAUACUUAGUAUUUUUAUUAUUAUGAGAUUAUAAGACAUGAAUAGUACUUUAUAUGUGACUUAUGUUUUUAUUUUUUUAAAAAAAAUCAAAUAAGACGAACGAUCAAAGUUGUGCACGGAAAAUCAUAGCUGCACUUAAA
rnacentral:pre_miRNA from 1 species